UGAAAAUGUGAUCCAGAGAGAGAAUGUAUCUAGACUAGUGCACCUAUUAUGGAUAGAUUCUUAAUAGGUCAUCUGGGAGGGAUGGUGUGUGCAGGCCUAGAUAGGAACAUUGUUUUUUCUUUUUCCCACAUCACAGAGCUACUCACUGAAAUCUGUCAACAUGGAGAUUGGAGUCUGUGUACACACACAUGCACAAAAUACACGUUGGUAUUUAUAUCCAGAAAGUGUAAAAAGUUCUCACAACUCAAUUAAACGGGCAAUCAAAAAAUGGGCAAAUAAUUUGACUAGAUGUUUCACUAAAGAAGGUAUAUAAAUCGUAAGCGAUUACAGGCAUGAGCCACUGCACCAGGCCACAAAAUAUUUCCCUUUUAGUAUGUGUUACUGUAAAUGGCAUUAUGCUUUUAAUUUUCAAUUCCAAUUUCUCAUUGCUGAUAUGUAAGAAAGAAAU
rnacentral:lncRNA from 1 species